AUGUAUCACUGUGGGUAUCCACAGCCGCAGUGCCCUAAUGAGCUAUUGCAGCUAAUGAACGAAGCUGUGUUUGGUGUUGCAGUGCCAAAAAAGCUGCAGCCCUGUGAACAUGUGUGCAGAACCUCCUGGAGGGGUUUGGGGUUGUUGCCUUCAGACAGCAUCGCUGGCAAGGUUGGGGCUGGCCUUGGCAAGCAGCUGCCACCACAGGGCAUGCUGGUGUCCCUGUCCUGUUUGGGAAGCAGGGAUCUCACCCCGAGUUUCCAAACUGCCCAUUCAGGGCAGACGUUUGCCAUUCAGGUGCAUGUGAAACCUCAGCUUUUUGCAAAUGGAGGUUUCAUGCAGAGGCAGAGCCUUGCUGGUGGUUAUCAGCUCAGCAGAGACCGUUCCUGUUCUUAUUCCUGGAGCAAAGAGGCUGGAAGAGAGAGAAAACACGAUGUAGAGCAACACUGCCAGGAAAUGGGAGCCCUCACACUCGGAGCCUGUAUUUAUUGUAAAUAUCCUGACUGACGGCUUUUGUGCGGUGGUUUGAGAAGAAGCAUGUUGUUGUCACCCUCUUCAACUGCACCAUUGUCUAAGUCUGGAAAGAAACUGGGAUCUCAUCUGUGGAGAAGAAAAAUCUAUCUUAGAGAAAGAGAUGAAAUCCAGCAAGGGCAAAAAUAGCCUGAAAACGGGCUUGCAGUGUGAAAGUAAGUUUCCUGAAGGUCUUGUCAAAAUAAUCUGCAUCAACAAAGGGCUAUUAAGUGCUAUGGCAUUUGAGCUUUUCUUUUUUUUUUUUUUUUUUUCUGUAAUAGUAGAUUCAGUGUGUCAAUACUCAUUUCCCAAAAGUGAUGCCCUCCCUGACCUAUGGUUGCAACGUGCCCCUCUGCCCCCUGCUACAAACAAAACCAGCAGCUUCGCAGCUCUCUGGAAGGAGCCGGCUCACCUCACUUCAAGGCAUUUCCCAGAAGCGGCAAAACACGAGGGGAAUUUUGCGACUAACUUUGGAGUGUUUGUGCUAGCACUCCACCACAGCCACAGCAAGGGCUUGAGAGCCCUUCUGCUGGGCUCAACAAGCCCCUUGUCUCAGCGCUGCAGAUGUGCAAAGCUCCUUUAUGAAUUAAGCAGCUAAAACACAUACAGAAGAAGCAGCUAGUUUGUUGGCGUGCUGAUAGUGGUAAAUGUCAUUAUGCUGGUAAGCACAAAAGGUCCUGAGCUUGGACCAGGGCUCUCACCAGCUGAAAGCCAUCAGUGACUGCAGGGUUAGGCCCUCGGGCAGGCCAGCACUGACUGGACCCCUGCCAGGUCUCAGCUACUGUCAGUACCAAAAAUAUGAAGUCCAACAUUUCUCAGGUCAAACUUACCACGCACGCACAGCCGGUCCCAAUGUAUGCUGCGCCCACAUCAUGGAUGGGGUUCUUCUUGGGUGUACACAUGCUUGAUCCCUGCAGGUAGAGCCAGCAUCUGGACUGUAGGACCUGUGUCAACCCUCUGCCUCGAGCGGUGAUUUACUGCUUUGCCACAUCUGCAGCGUGGUGGUGCUGCUUCUGCCUCCGCAGCUCUCUGCUUCUGGGUGGCAAGUUUUCACCCAGCAAAAGAGAAAGAAACAAGAAAAGCAGUAAUGCAAGAGAGUGGCAGGAGAGAAUUUCUGAUCAACUCUUUUUCAUAGAUUACAUUUUUAUUUGAGAACAUACCAAUUCCAGUUUUCAUAACAACGCAUUUUCCCUUGACAGGUGCUUAUUUCAUUUCAUAUAGUUGUCUAAGUAGUUAUCACGUCUCUAAUGUUUCCAGCCAGAAACUACUCCCCAGUGUGCCAGAUCCAGACCUUCCAGUAAUUUGUGUAUGUAAAUUCAGGUUAUUAUUAUGUUCACAUGUAAUACUACAGGUAACAAAAUGAAAGAGCAGGUACAAAUUAUCUGCCCAGAAAUCUGCAUAAAACAUCCACAUAUGGAAAACGAAUGUUUCUUGUUUGUAUAAAUGUCUGAACACGUAAGAUCUGUCAGUCAUUCUCACUUGCACCCAUACAGCUCAGAAGCAUGUCAUAGCAUUUGAGUCCUAGCAUCAUCUUCCAGUGGUCCAUAAAGUAUGAUUGCUGCUAGAAGCCGAUCAGAAUUCAGAACUGUACAAUCAGCUCGGCCACUGUGGAUCUAAAAUGUCUUUUCUUUUUUUUUCCUACUAUGAAUUUUUCUCAUUUAACAGUCAACUAAACUAUAGUGAUUUGGGAAUUAGCAGUUGAGGACUGUUCAGCACUUCAUGAUGCUUAAUGCAAUUAGCAAAGUUAAUAAAAUGUUGGACAGGUGCCUUAUACCA
rnacentral:lncRNA from 1 species